CACCCGCUGAGAUUCUCCAGCAUUUUUGUCUACCAGAGAAAUGACUAUACUUGAUUACGAUCGAACCAUCCAAAGUGCACAGAUGCAGGAUAAAGGGAAUGCAAGAUAAAGUCCAGUAAAGUCUGAUUAA